rnacentral:rRNA from 1 species
UACGGAGGGUGCAAGCAUUAAUCGGAUUUAUUGGGCGUAAAGGGCGCGUAGGCGGGGGUGCAAGUCAAUUGUGAAAUCCCGGGGCUCAACCUCGGAACUGCAUUUGAAACUACAUCCCUAGAGGGUAGGCGGAGAAAACGGAAUUCCACAAGUAGCGGUGAAAUGCGUAGAUAUGUGGAAGAACACCAGUGGCGAAGGCGGUUUUCUAGCUUAUACCUGACGCUGAGGCGCGAAAGCAAGGGGAGCAAACAGG